GACGAACGCUGGCGGCGUGCUUAACACAUGCAAGUCGAACGGAAAGGCUUCCUUCGGGAAGUACUCGAGUGGCGAACGGGUGAGUAACACGUGGGUAACCUACCUUUUACUGGGGGACAACCGGAGGAAACUCCGGCUAAUACCGCAUAAUGUGCAGUGUCAUGAGGCGCUGUACCAAAGAUAGCUUCGGCUUUCGGUUAAAGAUGGGCCCGCGGCGGAUUAGCUUGUUGGUGGGGUAAUGGCCUACCAAGGCGACGAUCCGUAGCUGGUCUGAGAGGACGAUCAGCCACACUGGAACUGAGACACGGUCCAGACUCCUACGGGAGGCAG
rnacentral:rRNA from 1 species